rnacentral:rRNA from 1 species
UACGUAGGGUGCAAGCGUUGCCCGGAAUUAUUGGGCGUAAAGAGCUCGUAGGCGGUCUGUCGCGUCGGCUGUGAAAACCCGGAGCUCAACUCCGGGCCUGCAGUCGAUACGGGCAGACUGGAGUUCGGCAGGGGAGACUGGAAUUCCUGGUGUAGCGGUGAAAUGCGCAGAUAUCAGGAGGAACACCGGUGGCGAAGGCGGGUCUCUGGGCCGAUACUGACGCUGAGGAGCGAAAGCGUGGGGAGCGAACAGG